CACAUCAUGGAAGUCACUUGUAGCCGAAGUGCGCGCGCCAACCCGCAAGGGGAGCAGCGCCCUACGCUAUGAGCGGUAACUGGGAUG
rnacentral:rRNA from 1 species